rnacentral:rRNA from 1 species
UGGGGAAUAUUGCACAAUGGGCGAAAGCCUGAUGCAGCAACGCCGCGUGAGUGAUGAAGGCCUUCGGGUUGUAAAGCUCUGUCUUUUGGGACGAUAAUGACGGUACCAAAGGAGGAAGCCACGGCUAACUACGUGCCAGCAGCCGCGGUAAUACGUAGGUGGCAAGCGUUGUCCGGAUUUACUGGGCGUAAAGGAUGCGUAGGCGGAUUUUUAAGUGAGAUGUGAAAUACCCGGGCUUAACUUGGGUGCUGCAUUUCAAACUGGGAAUCUAGAGUGCGGGAGAGGAGAAUGGAAUUCCUAGUGUAGCGGUGAAAUGCGUAGAGAUUAGGAAGAACACCAGUGGCGAAGGCGAUUCUCUGGACCGUAACUGACGCUGAGGCAUGAAAGCGUGGGUAGCAAACAGGAUUAGAUACCCUGGUAGUCCACGCCGUAAACGAUGAGUACUAGGUGUAGGAGGUAUCGACCCCUUCUGUGCCGCAGUUAACACAAUCAAGUACUCCGCCUGGGAAGUACGAUCGCAAGAUUAAAACU